rnacentral:rRNA from 1 species
UACGGGGGGGGCAAGCGUUGUUCGGAAUUACUGGGUGUAAAGGGCUCGUAGGCGGCCAACUAAGUCAGACGUGAAAUCCCUCGGCUUAACCGGGGAACUGCGUCUGAUACUGGAUGGCUAGAGGUUGGGAGAGGGAUGCGGAAUUCCAGGUGUAGCGGUGAAAUGCGUAGAUAUCUGGAGGAACACCGGUGGCGAAGGCGGCAUCCUGGACCAAUUCUGACGCUGAGGAGCGAAAGCCAGGGGAGCAAACGGG